rnacentral:rRNA from 1 species
UGCCAGCCGCCGCGGUAAGACGAAGGAUCCAAGCGUUGUCCGGAUUUACUGGGUUUAAAGGGUGCGUAGGCGGAUGCUUAAGCCAGUGGUGAAAUCUCUCAGCUCAACUGAGAAACUGCCAUUGGUACUGGGUAUCUUGAAUUCGAUUGAGGUAGAUGGAAUAUAACAUGUAGCGGUGAAAUGCUUAGAUAUGUUAUGGAACACCGAUUGCGAAGGCAGUCUACUAAGUCGAUAUUGACGCUGAGGCACGAAAGCGUGGGUAGCGAACAGGAUUAGAUACCCUGGUAGUCCACGCCCUAAACGUUGAUUACUCGCUGUUGGCGAUACACUGUCAGCGGCUAAGCGAAAGCGUUAAGUAAUCCACCUGGGAAGUACGACCGCAAGGUUGAAACUCAAAGGAAUUGACGGGGGCCCGCACAAGCGGAGGAGCAUGUGGUUUAAUUCGAUGAUACGCGAGGAACCUUACCUGGGCUUAAAUGUCAGAUGCAAUUGGAAGAAAAUUCUUGAGUUCCUUCGGGACAUUUGGCAAGGUGCCGCAUGGCUUGUCGUCAGCUCGUGUCGUGAGAUGCUGGGUUAAGUCCCGCAACGAGCGCAACCCUCACUUUUAGUUGCCAUCAUUAAGUUGGGCACUCUGAAGA